CCUACGGGUGGCAGCAGUGAGGAAUAUUGGUCAAUGGGCGCGAGCCUGAACCAGCCAAGUAGCGUGAAGGAUGACUGCCCUACGGGUUGUAAACUUCUUUUGUAAAGGAAUAAAGUGAGUCACGUGUGCCUUUUUGUAUGUACUUUAUGAAUAAGGAUCGGCUAACUCCGUGCCAGCAGCCGCGGUAAUACGGAGGAUCCGAGCGUUAUCCGGAUUUAUUGGGUUUAAAGGGGGCGUAGUGGGGUUUUUAAGUAAGUGGGAAAAUUUUCGGGCCACACCUAAAUAUGGCAUUUAUAAUGGAGGUCUUGAGUACAGUUGAGGUAGGCGGAAUAAGUGAAGUAGCGGUGAAAUGCAUAGAUAUAACGUAGAACUCCGAUAGCGAAGGCAGCUUACUAAACUGCGACUGACAUUGAUGCACGAGAGUGUGGGUAUCAAACAGGAUUAGAUACCCUUGUAGUC
rnacentral:rRNA from 1 species